rnacentral:lncRNA from 1 species
GCUACCAUUCUUUGUCUGAAAUUUUCUGUGAAAAUUUUCUACUUACACUAUAAUUAUAAUAAUCUUUUAAAAACUUUUUUGUUCCACAGACCACAUUCCUAGAUUCUAGAACCCUUUGUUUCAAAUGAUCUGAAAAAUAAUGGUAUGGUUUGGUAUAGACACAAAAUAAUUUCUAUAAAGAUAGAAUCAACAUCAUUUCCCAACUUACUUGAGAUGGCAGCCAAGUUUUCCUUAAACCACACUUUACCAAUUUUACAUGAGAUGGUCACAUCACAUAGUGUAGUCUUAAUUAUCUCUGGAAAGAUAGGAUGGUCAUGGAUGGAAUAUUUUUUAUUGUAACACAGGCAUGGCCAUAUGGUUAAGAAGUUUGCUUCACAACUUUAUAGCUUCUGGUUUAAUCUUCCGGCACAGCACCUUGCUUGAGUGUCUUCUACCCGCAAAGCAAUGUGAAUAAAAUUUGGUAGACAGAAACGUUCCUGUUGUGGGAUGGUAGACUUAAUUCAUUGCUCUUUGGUACCUUUAGCUGAGUCUAUUUUGUUGUGAGCAUUCAGAACAGAUUUAUUGGUUCUGAGGAUAAACACCUUUCAUGAAUCUCUGAGAACCUGAGAAAGGUCGUAGUCAUCACCCUUCCUCCACUCACUAAAUCAUAAAAAAUGGAUAACCAGCUGUUGUUAUUCCCCUACAACUACAACAACUGUUACUUUCAUAAUUGAGAAUGGCGAACUUGAUCCAAGUGAAUGGGCCUACUGUCAGCCUGUAGACAAAGAGGAUAACAUCUGGAACAGUAUAGUUACCAUUGGUAUAUGGGGUAUUUCAGGAUCUAUAGUAUUCUUUGAUUUUUCUCAGGUGACGGUCAUAUCCUAAAGACAUUUAAAAAGAUUUCUUAUACUCUGUUUUCUUUACAUUUUCAUUUUCCCAUUUGAUUUCUGUGUAAAACCAUACUACUCCCUGAAAUGUCUCCUUGUUCAUUACAUUUGUGGCAAAUAAAAUUUAUUAUUUCAGAGAUGUACUUGCCAUGUAAGUGAAUUGAUCUGAGAGUGAGUUGAAAUUUAAAAAAUUAUGGUGUAGAAGACACAUGUUAGUCAUUCAAAAACUCACAACGACCGUUGACUUUACUUAAACAUCCAUUAUUUGGUGUAAAGAUUUUUAUCACACCAACUACAACUUGGUCAUUGAUGCAAUUCCACUGCAUCUAGUUUGUGGUGAGAUUGUACACGUACAUGCAUAUUUGUGUGUGUGUGUGUGUGUGUGUGUGUAUAUAUAUAUAUAUACAUAUAUAUAUACACACAUAUACAUAUAUGCCUAUAUAUGUAUAUACAUAUAUACAUAUAUACAUGCAUGCAUACAUAAUAUAUAUAUAUAUAUAUAUAUAUCAUCAUCAUCAUCAUCAUUUAACAUCCCUGUGUGUGUGUGUGUGUGUAUAUAUAUAUAUAUAUAUAUAUAUGUAUAUAUAAAUGUAUAUAUUUAUGUAUAUCUAUAAAUAUAUAUAUAUAUAUAUAUAUAUAUAUAUAUAUAUACACAUACGCACACACACAUAUACAUAGGUGAAGGAGUGGCUGUGUUGUAAGUAGCUUGUUUACCAACCACAUGGUUCUGGGUUCAGUCCCACUGCAUGGCACCUUGGGCAAGUAUCUUCUAUUAUAGCCUUGGGCCAACCAAUACUAGUGUGUAUACGUCCCCGGUAACUUAGCCAUUUGGCAAAAGAGAUCGAUAGAAUAAGUACUAGGCUUACAAAGAAUAAGUCCUGGGGUUGAUUUGUUUGACUAAAGGUGGUGCUCCAGCAUGGCCACAGUCAAAUUGUUGAAACAAGUAAAAAAAAAAUAUACACAUACAGUGUGUUCUGAAAUUAAGGCAACAGAAGUUACAGGCUUUAAUAACUAUCAAUAAAUGUGAUAAAAUAUGAAAAUUAUACAUCAUUAUAAAAGCUUAGCAUAAAAAUAAAAAUGCAAAUCAUCUUGUCUAUCUUAAGUAGCUUCUCUUAAUCUUUUUUGUUCUGUGGAAUUUUCACAGGUCCCACUAGUUAUUAUUCAUACUGUUAUUAUUACUCAUUAAUUUUAUUUUACAUAUCUAAACGCUACAAACAAACCAAAAGAAAUUUAUUCACAUAUUGUUUAUAUACUUAAAACUUUUAAUUAGAUGUCAGUUUCUCCUUAUUUUAGUAGUUAGUCAUCACACUCAAGUGGACUACAGCAGGUGGAUGGUCCAAUUCUCGUAGGUGAUUCUGUCCUCUUUUUUUCCCAUCUAAGAGCAUUCUACCUGAUAUUUUCUGAGUUAUUUAUUUUAUAGCUUCGUUAUUUUUAUUUGAGCUUUCUAAAAAGAUUAUUUUCAGAUUUUGCAAUACUUUGAAGCAACCAAAAUUAUUAUUGUUUAAAUGUUAGCAACAGGAAGUGAUUAAGUUGUAAAGCGGUGCUUCAAUAAUAUAUUCAUCUCACUCAUGCUAGUAUGAAAAAAAAACAAGCAUAGAAUGAUAAAUGAAUUUUAGACUUACUACAUGUUAGUGAAGAAUAUUCAGUAAAAAAAAAAUCUUCUACACAAUCAUUUAGUAUUCCCUGCAAACAACAAAAUCUUCCCCAACAAGAAGUGGACAUGCAAAUGCCAUGAACACAGACCCUUUCAUCAUCAUCAUCAUUGAACAGCCAUUUUCUAUGCUGGUAUUAGUUGACAGGCCAGAGCUCUACAUUGAGAAUCAGAAGACUGCACUGAACUCCAGUAUCUACUUGGGAAUGGCUUUUACAGCUGGAUGCCCUUCCAAAUGCCAACUACCUUGAAGGAAAUAUUGGGUGUUCUUUUUUUGUGGAUCUAGUACUACUCUCUCUUUAUUCUUUUACUUGUUUCAGUCAUUUGACUGUGGCCAUGCUCGAGCACCGCCCUUAGUCGAGCAAAUCGACCCCAGGACUUAUUCUUUGUAAGCCUAGUACUUAUUCUAUCAGUCUCUUUUGCUGAACCACUAAGUUAUGGGGAUGUAAUCACAUCAGCAUCGGUUGUCAAACCAUGUUGGGGGGACAAACACAGACACAGACACACAAAUAUAUACACACACAUACAUAUAUAUACAUAUAUACGAUGGGCUUCUUUCAGUUUCCGUCUACCAAAUCCACUCACAAGGCUUUUGUUGGCCCAAGGCUGUAGUAAUGAACCCAGAACCAUGUGGUUGGUAAGCAAGCUACUUACCACACAUCCACUAGUAGAUUAUCUAGUAACUUGCAAGUCAAGAUCCCACAAGUAAGUGUGUAUGUGGGGUGGUAUUGAAAGAGGUAGCUUUAUACCAGGUGAUGAGAGGUUAAAGUAUGAUAGAGGAAUAAGAACAGGUGUCCUGUGGUAAAGGAGAUACAUAGCUACUCCCUCUGGAAAAAGAGAAAAGAUAGUGGAGAUGAGAUGUCUGAGCAUACCCUAAUCUUAUAAAAGACCCUUAUAAAAGACAAAUCAUAUCUCUCCAGGGGUUGCUAGAGCUAUUAAUUACUUUUAAUUACAUCUGAAGUAAUUACUUCUGUCAUUACUCUAUAGCAGACAUUAUAUCUGUCCAGGGGUUGCUGAAUGUAUUAAUUUCUUUUAAUUACAUUUGGAGUAAUUACGCAUGUCAAUACUCUAUAGUAGAUAUGUGAUAUCUGUCCAGGACUUGUUAGAUCUGUUAAUUACUUUUAAUUACAUCUGGAGUAAUUACAUCUGUUGUUAUUCUAUAGUAGAUAUAUUACAUCUGUCCAGGCUUGUUGGAUCUAAUAAUUACCUUUAAUUACAUCUGGAGUAUUUACAUCUUUCAGAGAUUAUAGACAACACUACAACUGAUAUUUAAAUAUUUGACAUUUACAUAAUAUUAUAGUUUUCUCUAAUGUUUCACUCAUAUAACUUCAUUAGCAACACUAAUGUUGAGAAUGCUGGUUGCUGUUGCUGUUGUUUGUUGAGCAAACAGUCUUCGUCCCACAGCUCGCAAGAUGGGAGAAGUCUGAAACAUGGUCCUUUGCUAUUUGUAAGACCCACAGAAGAGAAAGCAGGUCAACCCCCGACACCGAGAGCAUCGACGGAUGGAUAAAUGCGCAUCCAGGCUCAGCAGUUGUGUAGGAAGUCAGGGACAAGAAACAGGAAGAAAGAGUGAGAGAAAGUUGGAGUGAAAGAGUACAACAGGGGUCGCCACCACCCCCUGCCGGAGCCUCGUGGAGCUUUAGGUGUUUUCGGUCAAUCGAAACCGCGAUCCUCCAACCGCGAGCCCGCUGCCCUAACCAUUGGGCCAUUGUGCCUCCACUGACAAUGCUGGUGAUGAUGAUGGUGGUGGUGCUAAUUCUGCAACUGUUGUUGCUAUUACUUGAUGCUAAUGCUACUGCUGCUACAAAUGUUGGUGCUGUUGCUGUUACUGUUGUUACUAAUGCUGCUGCUGGUGUGUCUGUCACUGUUGCUAAUGCUACUACAACUGCUAUUACUUUUGCUGUUGAUACUACUGUUACAACUAUUGUGAUUACUACUACUACUACUACUACUACUACUACUACUACUACUACUACUACUACUAGUGUCUUAUAUAUGCAGUAGAUUGUUUGCUGCUUAGUUUGUAUUAUUAAUGAUAAAAAAUAAGGUGGUAACUGACAAAAUCAUUAGGGUAUCUGAAAAAAGUACCUUUCAGUAUUUAUUCCAGCUAUUUGGAGGCGCAAUGGCCCAGUGGUUAGGGCAGCGGACUCACGGUCAUAGGAUUGCAGUUUCGAUUCCCAGACUGGGCAUUGUGAGUGUUUAUUGAGCGAAAACACCUAAAGCUUCACAAGGCUCCUGCAGGGGGUGGUGGUGAACCCUGCUGUACUCUUUCACCACAACUUUCUCUCACUCUUUCUUCCUGUUUCUGUUGUACCUGUAUUUCAAAAGGCCAGCCUUGUCACACUCUGUGUCACGCUGAAUCUCCUCGAGAACUACGUUAGGGGUACACAUGUCUGUGGGAUGCUCAGCCACUUGCACGUUAAUUCCACGAGCAAGCUGUUCCGUUGAUCGUAUCAGCUGGGACCCUCAUCGUCGUAACCGACGGAGUGCUCCUAUUCCAGCUAUUUACAAUCUGAGUUCAGAUCCUAGAGUCAACUUUGCUUUUUGGGGUCCAUAGAUAAUUUACCAGUUAAGUUUUGUGAUCAAUGUUAUUGGCUAAUUCUUUUCUUUGUACUUAAAUUAGAAACCAUAAUUAAUCAUAAAGAAUAUGGUUGCAGAGAAAAAGAUAAGGUGUAGCUGUGUGGUAAGAAGCUUGCUUCCCAACUACAUGUAUAAUAAUAAUAAUAAUAAUAAUAAUAAUAAUAAUAAUAAUAAUAAUAAUAAAUGCAUUGAUGCAGUACCAGGCAGUGGCUCUCAUGGCUUCUGAUCUUAACUGAUUGGAAGUGUUAUCAUGUACAUUGUUUUGUCUUAGUAUAAAAGAUGGACUACAGCAAAUAUUCCGCUCAAUACCACAGAUUUGCUUGUCAGUUGUUUGACCGUAACCAGUUGAGCAUGUCCUUUAGUGGCUGACGAUAUGUGCAUCUCUGACCACGAGCAGAAGUAGUGGGGGAGCAUCAUAGCCAUGUGUUAAGAGGGAUUCUUUUGGGUUUGAAUAAUUCACCUCUAAUGGGUGUUUCAUUCAACAUCCUUAACCCUUAUUCAGGGACUUUUUGAGUGGAAUGGGUUACUUGGCCAGAAGAAAAAUUCUAACUGGGACCCACCUGCAAGGUCAUGUGCUCUUUGUCUUGAUAUGAGAUCACCGUGUCAUGCACAUAUGGCUGUGAUGCAUGUGCCUAGUGUACCCUUAUCAGACAUGUAGUCAUGAUAGGUAUACUGGGCUUCAUAUAUUUUACCCCAGUGUCACUUUGAUGGCAUGCACUGCUCUCUCACUCAAUAAUAAUAAUAAUGAUAAUAGUAACACGGUGAACUUGGUGUCCCAAAGCCCUGGCCAGCAACCAAGUUAGAGCUUGUGUUGUAUUUGGGAUAACCCUGUACAGGAAAAUCUCAAAUAAAUACACCUGGGGAGCAGACUUUGUAAAAAAAUCAUUCUCAUUCUUUGCAAUGAUGAUAACAAUUUCAAACACAAAUAAUAGUAUGAACAGGAAGACUCCCCCUGGAUGUCCAAGACACCAGAUCUCCUGUGCCUAGUUUGGAAAUCUCCCGUGCCUUUAGAGGGCAAUGGAGUGGAAAUCCAAACUCCAACCAGUCAUAGUCCUUUUACUGGUCAAAAUAUGCAAUGUGCUUGCAAAUGCAAGUGGUCUGUUGAUAUGAACAAAAAGGCAAUUAAGUGCCAUGAGCAAGCCUUGCUAGACAAGAACAAUGGCAAAUGUAGAGCUGUCAGAAAAAGAUCAUUAGAACUUUGGAACUAGCUGGGUAUGUUCCAGAUUACUGAAAAUGGGUUUAUGAAUCAGAUAAGAAUAAUUUGGAAUAGAGGCUUUCUUAAUGUGGCGAAUGAAUAGGUGAGGUGAAGUUGUAGUAGAGGAGAGGCCAGUCAAUCAAUAUAAUGUAGAAAACCCUGUAUUAUGAGAGGAUAUAACUGAGGAACACAAAAACCUUAAGACAAGCCUUGAGGAUAUAAUAAUUAUAAGAACUGAGACUGAGCUGGUGAAUUUUAGUUUUGACUGUAACAAUGUGAAAAGCAUGACCCAAAAGUUUGAUGAGAUUCUGAAACACAUUCUGACAAAAGAUCUAACAGAAACAAGGGACUUGAUCAAAUCUGCUUCAAUUUUAGUAGGUGAACUGGUUGGAAAGAGCGGAAAGGAGAUGGACAAAAGGAGCCAUGGUGGAAACAGAAAAUUGAAGUCAAUAUUAAAACUUUGCGUAAAGAUCUGAGUUGCAUAAAAGGGCAAUGAAAAAAUGCUAAAAAGGUGCAAAGGAAUAUCUUGAUGCAAAACACCAAAUAGAAAGAAAGAGUUCAAAACUGUUAUGGAAACCCUAAAACAACGCAUGCAGAUAAAAACAUUAAAGGUGCAAUGCUACACUGAUUGCAUACCACAGUGCCAGUAAAACAAGUUAUUCUCAAAUAACCAGAGGUAGUUUUUUAAGAGCUCAGAAGGAAAUGUAGACGAUAAUAUACCUCCUGAAGCAGAAGAAACCUGCCAAUUUUGGAAUAACAUCUGGGGGCAAGAAGUUUCCCACAACCAUGGUGCUGAGUGGAUUCAUUCCGUGAGAUCCGAACUCUAUCACCUGGAGGUUUUAUGACAGGACCAGGUGCAUAACAACACUUUGAUAUAAUUGCACAGGUAUCAAAACUGCCAAACUGGAAAGCAGCAGGACCAGACGGAAUUAAAGGCUGUUGGCUUAAGUGGUUUAGGUCAACACACAAGUGAAUUGCGUUGCAAUUAGACAAUUGCCCACAGAGUGGUGCAGUUCUGGAGUGGAUUGUUGAGGGAAAGAGGACAUGGUUGAGGAAAGAUCAGUCAAAGGGCAAUAAAAUUAGCAAUUAUCAACCCAUUACUUGUCUUAACCUCUUAUGGAAAGUUCUAACAGGAUCCUCACAGGGAAAAUAUAUAUGUUCCUUGUAGAAAACAAUCUACUUCCAGUAGAACAAAAGGUAUGCUGAAAAAGAUCUACAAGGGUACCAAAGAUCACCUUGUGAUAGACAAGGUUGUAAUGAAGAACUGCAAAUGAUACCAAAACAACUUGUGCAUAGCCUAGAUAGACUUUAAAAAGGCUUACGACAUGUUGCCGCAUUUGUGGAUUUUGGAAACACUCGACAUAUGUGGAAUAGCUGAGAACAUGUGUGCACUGAUUAAGAACAGCGUACCUAGUUGGAAAACAUAUCUUUUCUGUAACAACCAGCACUUAACUGAGGUAACAAUCAAAAGAAGUAUCUUCCAGGUAGACUCUUGUUUACCUUUGUUAUUUGUUAUAGUUUUGAUCCCACUUUUUGUAGCCCUAUGCAAAGUCAACACACAAUAUGAGCUGUGAAAGAAUGGACCUUGUCUCAAUCACCUUCUCUUCAUGGAUGAUUUAAAGCUGUUUGCAAAAACAGAACCUGAAAUGGAGAGGCUGGUUGAAACUGUACAGAUGUGCAGUAAGGAUAUAGGGAUGGAAUUCAGUAUCUCGAAGUGUGCAGUGCUCACUUUGAAACAGGGGAAAAGAGCAGAUUGCAGGGGCAUAGAAUCGUCAAACAGAGAGAGGGAAUGGAAGACCUGGAUGAUGAUGGGUACUAGUACCUUGGGAUCUUGGAGCUGGACAAUAUUUUGUGCAAAGAAAUGAAAGACGAGGUCAUCACUGCAUAUUUGAAGCACCUCAAACUUCUCUUGAAAUUAAAACUCAAAUCAAAGAAUCUUGUGACUAUCAUCAACAUAUGGGCUGUAGUCAUGGUGCCCUCCACCCUAAGGAAAAUGUACACAGGCUUUACAUGAAAAAGCGUAAAGGUGGAUGUGGGCUGAUUAGCAUAUGGGAGUGCAUCAACAGUGAAAGAAGAAACAUAGCAGAAUAUUUGGUAAACAGCAAACAAAACCUGCUGCAGUAUGCUGCUAAUGCAGAAGGAAUUACCAAUCAUGAUUAGCCAUGGAAUUACAUGGUCAGUUCCACUGUGAAACUAACAAAUUAAAAGACCAGGAAGCAUCAUGGAGGUGACUCAGCAAGGGUGGCCUAGAAAUGAAAACUGAAAUUCUCAUGAUCACUGCCCAAGACCAGGCAUUGAAUACCAACUCAGCAAAAAGGGAUAUAUUCCACAAAAGUGCAACAAACUUUUGCAGAAUGUGUGAUAAGAAGGUCGAAAGCAUGACUCACAUUAUUGGUGCUUGUAAAAGUCUUGUGCAGAAAGAGUACAAGUGCGGACAGAACAAAGCAGCCCAAAACUUUCACUGGCUACUAUGCCAGCAGUAUGGAUACGAGGUAAAAGGUGCUUGAUACCAACAUACACUGGAAAAUGUAAUGGAUGAAAAGGGGAAGACAAAAAUCCUCUGGGAUUUUGACUUGCAGACAGACAAGGUGUUAGAGCACCGAAGGCCAGAUAUGGUAACCUUUAGGAGGGACAAUUAAAAAUGCCUAAUAAUCAGUGUGGCAGUGCCAGGAGAUCAACAUAUUAUUAUGAAAUAAAGAGAAAAGAUUGAUAAAUAUGGAGAGCUGAGAAUUGAAAUUGCCAAGAUGUGGCAGCUACAACAGUCAUCUAUUGUCCUUGGAGCAUUGGGUUCAAUACCACCCAACCUGAGAAAGCAUCUGGAAACUUUAGAAAUAUCUUACAAUCUAGGUGUAUUGCAAAAACCGGCAUUACUUGGAACUGCAUACUUAUUGCAUAAAGUACUGUUUGUCUGAGGUCCUUGUUGUGACUUGACAGACAGUACAAACCCCCGGUAGGCACAAUUUCAUCAACCAACAACAUCACAAUAUUGGAUACAAGUGCAACGUCUUAAAUAAUAGUAAUAAUAAUAGAUAAAAUACAAAACAAUAGUUAGUUUAAAUGACAAAAGUCACAGAAGUCUUAGGGUGUUCAGAUUUUGGUUAAAAAAAAAUUACAAACUGAAAAAAGAGCUUGACAAAAUUAACUAAAUUAGCAUGGAAUAAUGGUUUCAUAUUUUUUAUAAUUAAGAUCUAAACUGUUAAUAUAUGAAUGCAAAAGAGAUAGUCGAAUAACUGUAAACCUACUUUUGGGCCACCCUGUAUAUGCAUAAAAAAUAUAAUAGAAAUGCUUUAAUAAAAAUAAAUGUUGAAGUUCACUAGAUCAAUAGAAGGUUGGUCAUGUAACUGGAGGAAAUACAAUAAGUCUUAGCUAAAAUAUCAAAUUCUUAAAUUCAAUCUGUUAUUAAAUAUUAUGAGCUACAAGCGAAAACUAACCAUAGCAUAUAAACAUCAUAAAAUGGAACAGCAAUUUAUUUAUUUUCUUAUCACAGUUGGUGAACAAAUGCACCUGUUGGUUACAGGUUCACCAUAUUUCUAAUGGUCAGCAAGAGAAGGAAGUGUCUGUUACUCUAACAGAAUAAUUAUUAUGAGGAGAUUGUUGGAAAAGUACUACAUUUUUGCUUUUUCUUACUAAUUUGAUCUUUCAUUGAUAUAUUGAUGAAAGACAUAUGCAUAUAUACAUACAUGCAUGCAUGUAUGUAUAAAAGUAUACAUACUUGCAUACAUGCAUACAUACAUUCCUGCAUACAUACAUACAUGCCUAAAUACCUGCAUGUAUAUAUCAUCAUCAUCAUUGUCACUGUUGUCGUCAUGAUGAUGGUCAUGAUGAUGAUCAUCAUCAUCAUUAAUGCCCAUCGUUGGCUUGGAGCUAUUGUAGAAGACAUGAUGCUGUGCAGUGAGUUUGAACCUGAAACCACACAUUGAGAAGCAAACUUCUUAACAACACAACCAUAUUCGUAUGUAUAUAUGUAUGUGUAUAGGUACAUAUGUAUAUAGAUAUAUACAAAAUAAGAAAAUGGAGAAAUACAUCUAAAUCAAAUAUCAAUUACCAGAUAAAAAACAUUUUACCUUUGCCCAUAUAAUACAGUAAAUGAAUUGAUUGCAUCGCAAUCCUUAACAUUUCUGUAUUAACCUUGUUGGGUACUUCACUAGCAGUAUAUUGGAUAUAUGUUAUCCCAUGGAGGGUUACAUUUACAACCCCUAUCUCAAUUUGUAUAUAUAUAUAUAUAUAUAUUUAUGUAUGCGUGUAAAGAUGAAAAACUUCAGUUCCUGAUGAUUGUCCUUAUUCGCCUUGAAACUUGAGUAAAGUAGCAAAGAAAUAUUAAAUGUUAUCGUUUAAAUAAAUAUACGUUUAAAAAAAUAUACGUUUAAAAAAAUAUAUUAUUAUUGAGUGAGAGAGCAGUGCAUGCCAUCAAACAGACAGCAGGUAUGUUCUCUUAACUGGCAUUAUUAAUACCAGAGGGAGUUGUAAUGAUAGUAUCUAGUUAGAAAAACGGAAGGGAAGAAAUAAAGAAUUUCCUUCUCUGUGGGAAAGACAAGCAUAUGUAGAAUGUGAUUGGGUAUGAUCUCUUGGAUUGAUCACGACAACUCAUAUAUAGCAAAGUAGAAUGUAACUGCACUGAGUGGCUUUGAGCCGUUGUAUGGAGGAGAAAGGACUAUUUUGGUUUGAACAGAAGAUACAAAAUGGUGAUGAAUGCUGGGUAAGAAAACCUUUGUUUUUUAAUGACAGUAGAAAUUAUGUGUUGGGUGGAGGGAGAAAGAAGGAUUGAAGAAAAGAGGAAAAAGUAUGGUGAGAUUAGAUCUCUGGAGGAUGAGCUUUAUAGAGGAAAUGAUGAAAGGAUUAAGGUGCCUGAUGAUAUACUGUAUGGAAGAGCUAUCGAAAACACACAGGUAUGCAUGCACACACACAUGCACACACACACACACACACACACACACACACACACACACACACACACACACACACACACACACACACACACAGAUAGAUAGAGAUAGCUACAAAAGAGAGAGGGAGAAAGAGACAGAGACAGUAAAAAAUAAAAGAAUGAGAAUACAUUGAAUGUAUAUCUGUGAGUGUGUGUGUGUGUGUGUGUUUAUAUAUCAUUAUCAUCAUCAUCAUCAUCAUCACCGUCAUCUUACUGACCACUUUUCCAUUCUUGCAUAGGUUGGAUGGAAUUUGUUGAGGGGAUUUUCUAUGGCUGAGUGCUUUUCCUGUCACCAAUUCUCACCUGUUUCCAUGUAAUGUACCAUUUCCUCAGACUUGUUUAUGUAGAAUAUGAGCAGAGAUACCUGGCCUUGCUCAGGAUUAAAAUGGCAUAAUUUUUUUAUUGUUUUACUUGUUUCAGUCAUGUGACUGCAUCCAUGCUGGAGCACUGCCUUUGGUUUAAAAAAAAAUCGACCACAGGAUUUAUACUUUGUAAGCCUAGUACUUCUUCUAUCAGUGUCUUUUGCCGAACCGCUAAGUUAUGUAAACAUAGCGACAUCUGUUGUCAAGCAAUGGUGGGGGGUACAAACACAGACACAGACACAGACACACACAUGAAUAUACAAAUAUAUAUGACAGUCUUCUUUCUACAUACACAUAUAUGUAUUUAUAUAUAUAUAUAUAUAUAGUACGUUUAUAUAUUUAUUGGCUAAACUGGCAAAAUGACCAUUCCGAAAUUUAACAAUAUAUAUAUAUAUAUAUAUACACACACACACAUAUAUAUAUAUCCACAUAUAUACACAUACACAGAUAUAUAUAUAUAUAUAUAUAUAUAUAUAUAUAUAUAUAUAUAUAUACAUAUACAUAUUCACACACACACAUAUAUAUACACACAUAAAUAUGCAUACAUAAAUAUAUAUAUAUACAUAUAUAUAUGCAUAUACAUAUUCUCACGCACACACAUAUAUAUACACACAUGAAUAUGCAUACAUAAAUAUAUAUAUAUGCAUAAGUAUAUAUAUACAUGUAUAGUUGAAAUAUACAGAAAAACAAAAAAGACAAAGACAGGUUUAUAAACAACAAACAGGUGUAUUAGUUUAAUGCUUGGGAAGGUGAGAAAGUCUUUUACGUUUUAAGCCUAUGCUCUUCAUCAGAAAGGAACACAAGGAACACAGAGACAGAAUAAAAAAAACUUUUGAAGUAGCGGUCAAUCAUAGCAGCUGGCUGAACAGAGGUAGUUAGACAGGAGAGCUAGGAAGAAGGUGAGAUAAUAAAGUAUUGGUGAUCUCAAAAUGAAGGUGUGCAGAGAUGCUUAAAAUAUCUGGCGGUGUCGGCUAUAGUCAAGUCACCCAUAUAGUCAAUCAGGUGAUAUAUGAAGGAGUCAUACCCAAUGACUGGUGUAGCAGCACCAUAGUCAGCUGCUACAAAGGUAAAGAUGAUGCAUUAGAUAUAAAUAAUUUCAGAGGUAUCAAGUUGUUGGAUCAGGUAAGGAAAGUUACAGAGAGGGUCACAGCCCAACUAAUUAGGGAGAGGGUUGGUUGAGAUGAGAUGCAGUUUGGGUUUGUGCCAGGGAAAAGCACCACUGAUGCUAUAUUUCUGGUAAGAUAGCUGCAGGAGAAAUACCUAGCCAAAAAUAAACCUCUGUACCUGGCUUUCAUGACAUGGAGAAAGCCUUUGACAGGGUCCCUUGAUCCCUUAUGUGGUGGUCAGUGUGGAAACUAGGGAUAGAUGAGUGGAUAGUGAGAGCUGUACAAGCCAUGUACUGGGAUGCUGUCAGUAAGGUGAGGGUUGGAAAUGAGUACAGUGAAGAAUUCCGGGUAGAUGUAGGGGUCCACCAAGGCUCAGUCCUCAGCUCCCUCUUAUUUAUCAUAGUCCUCCAGGCAAUAACAGAGGAAUUUAAGACAGGAUGCUCACUGGGAGCUUCUCUAUGCUGAUGACCUUGUUCUAAUAGCUGAGUCACUAUCAGAACUAGAGAAGUUUCAGGUGUGGAAGCAAGGUCUAGAAUCGUAGGGCCUUAGAGUCAAUCUAGCAAAAACCAAAGUCUUAAUAAGUAGAAAGGCAGACAAAUCACAAAUCCCACCAGGUAGAUGGCCCUGCUCAAUUUGUAGAAAAGGUGUAGGUAGAAACUCCACAAGAUGUACCUAGUGUAAGCUAUGAAUACACAAGAGGUGCAGCAAUAUCAAAGGAAGACUAACUGGGAAGAUAGUUUUUGUGUGUGGUAAAUGCUCAGGGGCAAUAAACACUGAAAAUGUGCAGAAAACAGCUUCCGUCACAUGCCAGCGGAAUAAACUAGAAGUAGUUGAUAGUUUCUGUUACCUAGGUGACCAAGUCAGUAGUGGGGGUGGGGGAUGCUCUGACAGUGUAGCUGCUAGAAUAAGAUUAGCCUGCUCAAAGAUCAGAGAGUUCCUAACUCUGCUGGUGACAAAGGGCCUCUUGCUCAGAGUAAAAGGUAGACUGUAUGACGUAUGUGUAUGAACAGCUAUGCUACAUGGCAGUGAAACAUGGGCCAUGACUGCCGAGGACAUGUGUAAACUUGCAAGGAAUGAAGCUAGUACGCUCUGCUGGAUGUGUAAUGUCAGUGUGCAUACAUGACAAAGUGUAAGUGCCCUGAUAGAAAAGUUGGACCUAAGAAGCAUCAAAUGUGGUGUGCAAGAGGGAUGAAUGUGCUGGUAUGGUCAUGUGUUGUGUAUGGAUGAGGACAGCUGUGUGAAAAAGUGUCACACCCUAGCUGUAGAGGGAACCUGUGGAAGAGAUAGAUCCAGGAAAACCUGGAAUGAGGUGAUGAAGCACGACCUUUGAAGUUGGGCCUCACAGAGGUAAUGACAAGUGAUUGAGAUCUUUGGAUAUAUGCUGUGCUUGAGAAAACCCAGCAAGCCAAGUGAGACCAUAACUGUGGCCUAUGCCAGUGCAGCAUAACUGGCCCAUUUAAGAGUACUCUUCAAUCAUUGGGCUUUAAACUGUGCUUGCAAAGACCUGUUGAGUCAAGUGAAGUCAUUGUCGCAGCUGAUGACAGUACUGCCUGAAUGGCACCUGUGCUGGUGGCACGUAAAAAAUCACCAUUCAAGCUUGGUUGAUGUCACUGUCACUUGACUGGUCCUGCUGUUGGCACGUAAAAAGCAUCAUUCAAGCGUGGUUGAUGCCAGUACAGCCUGACUGACCCUCAUGCCGGUGGCAUAUAAAAAGCACCUUCUAUAAUCUUGGAGUGGUUGGCAUUAGGAAGGGCAUCCAGCUGUAGAAACUUUGCCAGAUCAGAUUGGAGCCUGGUGCAGCUUUCUGGCUUAUUAGUCCUCAGGCAAACAGUCCAACCCAUGCCAGCAUGGAAAGUGAAUGUUAAACGAUGAUGAUGAUGAUGAACAAUUGAGGUACAUUAAAGAUUUAAAAGAUUUCAAAAUAUUGUAUAAUUUCUAAACAUAAAAGCGUUUUAAGAUAAUAUUAAAAUUUUUAAAAGAUUUGUAAAAGAUCCUAAAAAUAAGAAUUUUCCUAAAAUUACAGCUGUUGACUCGAAGAAGCAUAUUGUACAUGCUGAAUCGAAGAAGUAUUUUGUACAACAUGCUUCUUAGAUUCAAUAUCCAUAAUUUUGGGAAAAUAUUUUUAGGAUUUUUUACAAAUCUUAAAAAAAUUUUGAUAUUGUCUUAAAUCGCUUUUAUGUUUAGAAAUUAUAUAAUAUUUUAAACUAUUUUAAAUCAUUAAUGUACCUCUGAUGAGAGAAAUGUGGUCAAUUGUUAUGGAUGGAAAACCUGCCCAUUUCAAACCACAAUUUUUUAAAACAGUUGCAAGAAUAUGUACUCACUAAUGAUUGAUCCUGAUUCAUCGUAUACCACUGCUCCUUGGAUUCUCCUACCAUCUAACUUCAUCAUUGAUUCAUCAAAUUUGAAUACUUAACACCAAAUAUUUUAAUGCAGGUACAUUUAUGUAUCAUAUGCUUUCAUGAUUUUUAUAUUUGUACUUGAAGUGAUAUUGUAUAUGAAUAUGCCUAUGAUACAAAGGGAUUUAAUUUGGUAAAGGGACCUGACCUCUGAAAUUGGUUCUCCAUUCUUGCCUAUAUUCUUAUUGCUCCUUAAGAGUGCAAAUGAGUUGUACUGUAUUAAAGGAUAUCCUUUUGAUAUACUUCUCUUAAUUAUUUUCUUUCUCUCUCUCUCACUAUAUAUAUAUAUAUAUAUAUCUUGUGUUGUGUUUCCAUACAUCAUAAUAUAUAAACCAGCUUGCCACAGUGUUUUGAACAUAUCCAAAUCAUUGCUUCUGUGAUCCUUAGGAAUCCUUAUGGCCAAUAUCUGGCAAUCCUGAAGGCACACAGGAUACCAGUUGUUAACAGAUAAUCUUACUAAAAUAACAGUGCCUAUUCCAAGCUAUAUAGUAAACUACUUUUGUAGUUACUCAAGCCUUAAACUGAGAGUUUAAGAGAUGCAGGCAAAGCAACCCCUCAAUGGACUCAAUACACAUUUGCAGCUUUGCUUAAUGGUUGACUGAUUAGUGAUAGGGAAGCUGUAAAACUAAUUACUCCAACAAUAUACAAACAUCUAAAAACAGCACCACCCAAGCUAGCUUGGGAAAAUCGAUUACAAAAAUAAAAAAAAAGAUAAAGAAAGGGGAAAAAUAAUUUUCACAUCUAUUUUUUUAUUGAGUGGGUUUCAUAUUGUUUGAUGUUGUAGAGCCAGCUUGUAGAGACAACAUAUUGAACAGAGACAGAUGUUCAAAUGAAUGAAAACAGGAGUAUUAAAAGUUUAUCUCAAAUUAAUUCCUUUUGUUUCAUUAGUGUCUUCAUUUCCAGGGAUCAAAAAUUGGCAGAAAUAGUAAAAAAUUUUUUUUUUCUAAUAGUUAUUCCCUUCUCUCCAAAUUCUGAGCUCAUUUCUGUUUUUGAAUAAAGUCGAUCUUUUAUAUUUUCAAAGUCCAUGAAAUCAUCAUCAUCGUUUAACGUCCACUUUCCAUCCUGGCAUGGUUUGGACGGUUUGAUCAAGAAGUGGUAAGCCAGGAGGCUACACCAGGCUCCAAUCUGAUCUGGCAAGGUUUCUACAGCUGGAUGCCCUUCCAAAUGCCAACCAUUGCAAGUAGUGGGUGAUUUUUACAUGUCACUGGCACAGGGUCCAGUCAGGUGGCACUGGCAUUGACCACACUUGAAUGGUUCUUUUUUAUGUACCAUCGACACAGGUGCCAGUCAGGUGGCACUGGCAUCAGCUACAACUAUGAUUUCACUUGACUCAACAGGGUUUCUCAACACAGCAUAUUGCCUGACGAUUGAAGGGUACUUUUAAACAGGCUGGUUAUGCGACACUGGCAUCAUCUACAGCUAUGAUCUCACUUGCCAAGUCUUCUCAAUCACAGCAUAUCUCCAGGUGUCUUGGUCGCUUGUCAUUGCCUCUGUGAGGCCCAAUGUUUGAAGGUCAUGCUUCACCACCUCAUCCCAUGUCUCCCUGGGUCUACCUCUUCCAUAGGUUCCUUCCACUGUUAGGGUGUGGCACUUCUUCACAAAGCUGUCCUCAUCCAUAUGCAACACAUACCAGUGCACAAAGCUGUCCUCAUCCAUAUGCAACACAUACCAACACAUACCAUAUGACCAUACCAGUGCAGUCGUCUCUCUUACGCACAACAUCUGAUGCUUCUUAUGUCCAACUUUUCUCUCAGGGCACUUACACUCUGUUGUGUAUGCACACCAACAUUACACAUCCAGUGGAGCAUACUGGCUUCAUUUCUUUUACGCCUAGGUUCUUUAGUUCAUUAAUAUAUUGAGGGUCAUUUAAUUAGUUAUUAUUGUUGUUGUUGCUAAUUACUAUUAUUGUGAUGAUGAUGAUGAUGAUGAUGAUCAUCAUCAUCAUCAUCGUCACCACCAUUUUAACACCCUCUUUUUGAUGCUUGGUGGGUGCAUAUGGUUUAGUGGUUAGUGUGUUGCUGCUCAUGAUUGUGGUUUCAGCUUGUUGUAUCCUCUUUCUCCAGUGUUGUGGUAUCACCAUGAUAUUGUGAUGGAUGGUUUUGAUACAUUGUGCCAGUGUUGUAACAAUAAACAAGAUAGCGAUGCAGCUGUAAUAACAAUGUAACAAUCCAACAAUCAAUAUUCCAAAUGAACUGACCAACUGACUCUUUCUGACUUCACUGUGAACUCAACUCAAACUAACACACAAACUUCACUCCGAUUGCUGCUAUUUAUAAUCACUCGGUCCAGUCUAUUUCUCGCAAGAGGGUGUUAUGAAUCUCAUCACAUCUCCCCUUUUGAAAUUUUGACUUCUAUAAGAAGUAAAAUUUAUUUUACUUUUUUCUUUUUUCAGCACACUUUCCCUCUCUUUUUUUAAAAUU